AAUGUAGAGGUCAUUUCUAUUGAGCUGAUUUGGUGGGAAAGGAGGAAGGGAAAGGAGCCAUUUCCCCUCAACAGAGGGUGCCAAUGCCAGGGCCAAGGGGGAGAUGAGGGGCCAUCACCCUAAGCCUCACACAGGUUUCAGAAAUCCCUGGGUGCGUCCAUGUAAUCCUAGGGAAAGAUAAGAAAGAAGCUGGCCAAAGUGUUCACUAGUACAGAUCACAGAAGGUACCUCCUCACCCUCUUCCUGCCUUUGGUACCUUUUCAUCCAGGGGGGUCCUUGUUCCCUUACCUUGGUACUGCCACCAGAACAUGUUCCUUGGCUUGGCACCUAUUCAUAAAGAACUAGACAUUCUGCUUGAAACCUGACCCAUUUUGCUCAAAUGAUCUUCACAGUGGCUCACUGUGUGUUUGCAGACCAUGCUUGGCCUUUUCUUACUUCCCCACCCUGAGAAGAGAGCUGAGAAAACUGGGCAUCACCGUGCCUUGUAGACCUGCCACCCACCACAGGAUAUGGAUGUGGCACUAGGAAACCAGGCGGGCCCUGCCCACAACACAUAAUUACUAGGUUAAUAUUUGGAUGACCCAAGCCAGUGCCAGGUCUCUUGUACUUAUAGGAGCCAGGACAUAAUCCCCCAUCUUUUCUUCCAAAACAAACCCAGAGAGCCUUUAUUCUCUGUGCUGAUUUCCUUUGAUGAGGUUUUCCAGGGCCUGGUGGAUGACUCUUUUCCCUCACCUUGGCCUCUAAUUACUGCCCACGUUUAUUUGCAUCUGUUGUGGUUUCUGAACUAGGAAGGGAAGUGUACUUGGAUGUUUUAUCAUCACUUUGAAACAUGGAUCUAGAAAAGCACAACAUUCCUGUAAUUUCCACUCCUUUGGAUUUCUAUUCAGCCUCAGUUUUUGCUGAAACAGCACAUGAGGCAGAGAAGAGACAAGGUAAGGGCGCUUCCCCAAAGUGCCAGUACCUCCCUGUCUUAUCAGGUGUGAAAUCAAAUGAUGGAGCAAGCUUCCCUCUUUAAUCAGCCCUCAGUCAGCAAGGAAGUACACGCCUACCCCACACAAGUCAAGAAACCAGAGUGAGGGAGCUCCCCAGAGGCACAGAUAUGCCCUCUGCCCCCAAAGAGUUCACCAUGUAAACCAUGCACUCAAAUGUAUUCUCUAUGUAGACCCAUGUGUCCGAAAACGAACAGGUCCAGUUCUCAACCCAGAAGACAAAAUGGUAACAUGUGAAUGAAUUUGUUGCAUAUACAGUGACAGCUUUACAAUGUUGGAGCAGCUUGAGCUCACUGUGGACUGGAGGGCUCUGGGAUGGUGACCUAGAAGAGGAAUUACUUGAACUGAAUCUUCAAAAUCAAGGAAGAGUUAUUUAGGUGGAAAAGCGGGGAGGAAAAUGAAGGUCCCCCAUGCCACAAAGUAAGGGUGAACCCAGCACAUUCAGGGAUCCAUGCUGUGGACCUCUCCUACUUUGAACUUCUUCCAGGCUUUCUCCUUCACCUGGUUAAGCAGAAUAAGAGGAUCCUGUUAGUCUGCAGGCCUACCCCCAAGUCUAGAAUGACCGGAUUGCUGAAGGUGAAGAACCCCUUAAAUCCCAGCUUGCUUACUCCCGCUCUAACCAGUGCAUGCUGUGUAGUCACUGAGUAAAAAUAGCUAAUUACCAACUCUUGGGGGGCAGGGUUAGGGAGAGGAGGUUAGACUGAGGGAGACACCACUGAAUGCCAAGACUAGGUGGGAUGGAAGGUGAGGGGGCCGGGGGUACCUCAGGAAGAGCUGCUGAAGAAUGUUGAAGGUCUGUGCUGGGACUGGGACUCUUGUGUCACUGAGGAGGACAGGUGGCCAGACAGCUCUGCUUGUCUUAUAAGUGUGGGAAGAGAGGCAAGUGGAGGGAAAGAGUCAAGGCUGAUUUGACCCACCCUCUGUGCUCUGCACAGAGCCGUCAUAGUCUAGUAACACAAUUUUUGUUGUGGUAACAGACUGUACCUUCCCUCCCUUCUGCAGCUGCAAGGGACUUCAUAGUCAAAAAUCUGUGCACAGAAGAAAAUGCCAGGAAGGACAUGUGUGGAUUGUAUGUAACUCCUGGGGGCAUGUCUGGCUCUUCACCACUAUCUUCCCAGCAAGAGGCAUCAGAAAGGCACUGCCAGGAGGCAGUCCCCAUACAGCUCAGCAGAUGAAGGGGCCCCAGAAGGCCAUUGAGGGAGUGCUUAAUGCAGGAGCUGCCUAGAUGUCCACCUGCAAGACACAACGCACACUAUGGAAGGUUCUGCUCUUCUCCAUGGAAUCUCUGCCGUGUCAUCUAUGCAUGAGGCCCUGCCAGGCACUGGCCUGACUACCUGGAUGUGCUUCAGCUACAUCCCCAAGCAUGUGGAAGAUACGCACACAGUUCCACCAGGGGUCACCACUUGGGAGUCGUCAGUCUGCUUGAAGGAGGGGCGAACACUGUUUCUGUUCUAAGCACUGAACCUCAUUCAGCCAUCACAACAAGCCAGUGAGAAGGCUUUAUUUGGAAUGAUUCGCCAACAUACUAUAAAUCAAGAGACAUACAAAGCAGACUUAAAGGAGCUGCAGAAACUUUCAGAGACCCAGGAGCUAUAAAAAGAAACUAUUUCCAAUGUGUCCUAGCAAGGCGUGUAAACUCAACUCCAGGGAAAAGAGCAAAUGAAAUCAACUACUUCUCAAGAGGUUACAAAUCUACCUAACAUAAUGCACAGCUGUUUUCUUCUUAAAAAAUGGAUCAAGAUCAUUCACCAACAGGAUUAAAAAGUAAAAGCUUGGAAAAUCUGGCAAUGAAAAUCAACAGCUGCGUCUCUCCCCACUUUGAGUCCUAAACCCUAAAGAUUAGAAAACAGAGGCCUGGAAAGAAUGUUGCUUGUCUAAGGCCACACAGUUGGUAAGUGGUGGAGCUGGUGACUAGUCCAGAUCAGCCCCCAAGCCGGGCUAGGCUGUUGUGUUCCCAGAAACACUUUUGCCUGGCACCUUAUCCCUGAAGUGGCAUCACCUGCUAUUUUUACACCUGCUACUAUGCAAGGAGAGCAGCCUGCCCAAGGGCCCAGCCCUGCUGGCUAGUUAAAAUACCAUGGCAGCUAGUGAGGAGGAGUGUUUACAGAGUGGAUCUCAGGGUGCUGUGAGUCAGUCCUGGAGGUCUGGGGUCCAUAUGGGCUUCCUCAUUCUCUUGCUGCAGGAAAGCAGGAUUAGAAGAGUUAGUACAAGACAUUUUACACUAAUAGGGGUUAGGUAGAAGUGAGCUCAGAGAUUCCCUGUUCAGCUCUGGUUUUCCCUACUGGCAAAGGAAAACAAAGGCAUUGAGAAGCCCACAUGAAGCAUCCCAUUUGGGGAGGCAGCUCCAUCAAUGCAAGGCAACCAGAUCUUCUGCAGAGGUGUCAGCCUUCUGAGUGUAGUCACAGCAGGUCCCAAGAGGGGAGAAGACCUGAGCUUGUUUCUGAUGGGGAAGAUCCGCCCUGCUUGAACACUAAAUGGUUUUCCCUUUGCCCCAAUUCCUUGAACUCUUUAUCUGUCUUUCUUGUAUUUUUCUAAACACUUCAAUCCUAUUAUGGAAUAAAGU